GCCUGGGUGGCUCAGUCGGUUGAGCGUCCGACUUCGGCUCAGGUCACGAUCUCACAGUUCGUGAGUUCGAGCCCCGCGUCAGGCU
rnacentral:tRNA from 1 species